GUAAAUGCGAUGAUCGGAUCAAGUAACUGAUCGAAAGGAGCUACAGAGAGCAGCCGGUUGGUGAGAGGCGCAGCAAACAGCUUUCAGUGAAUACCUCCGUGAGCAGCUUUUCGGAACAGGAGAUAUCCUAAGUAGGGAAAGACGGGGAUGCCCGUUAUCGUGCAUAGGACUGUGACAGCAGCCCGCGAGGCAUGGCGUGUGAGCGUUAUGUGAAUAAAGGUGGUAACACGGAAAAUUUUCCGUCCUUUGC
rnacentral:ncRNA from 1 species